rnacentral:rRNA from 1 species
UGGGGAAUAUUGGACAAUGGGCGCAAGCCUGAUCCAGCAAUGCCGCGUGUGUGAAGAAGGCCUUCGGGUUGUAAAGCACUUUUAUCAGGAGCGAAACGCUGUCGGCUAAUACCCGGCGGAACUGACGGUACCUGAGGAAUAAGCACCGGCUAACUUCGUGCCAGCAGCCGCGGUAAUACGAAGGGUGCAAGCGUUAAUCGGAAUUACUGGGCGUAAAGCGUGCGUAGGCGGUUUCUUAAGUCUGCUGUGAAAUCCCCGGGCUCAACCUGGGAAUGGCAGUGGAUACUGGGAGGCUAGAGUGUGUCAGAGGGUGGUGGAAUUCCCGGUGUAGCGGUGAAAUGCGUAGAGAUCGGGAGGAACAUCAGUGGCGAAGGCGGCCACCUGGGACAACACUGACGCUGAGGCACGAAAGCGUGGGGAGCAAACAGGAUUAGAUACCCUGGUAGUCCACGCCCUGAAACGAUGCGAACUGGAUGUUGGUCUCAACUCGGAGAUCAGUGUCGAAGCUAACGCGUUAAGUUCGCCGCCUGGGGAGUACGGUCGCAAGACUGAAACUCAAAGGAAUUGACGGGGUCAUAGCU